rnacentral:rRNA from 1 species
CGGCCGAGUCGACUUGGAGGUUGUUCCUUGAGGAGUGGCUUCCGGAGCUAACGCGUUAAGUCGACCGCCUGGGGAGUACGGCCGCAAGGUUAAAACUCAAAUGAAUUGACGGGGGCCCGCACAAGCGGUGGAGCAUGUGGUUUAAUUCGAUGCAACGCGAAGAACCUUACCUACUCUUGACAUCCAGAGAACUUUCCAGAGAUGGAUUGGUGCCUUCGGGAACUCUGAGACAGGUGCUGCAUGGCUGUCGUCAGCUCGUGUUGUGAAAUGUUGGGUUAAGUCCCGCAACGAGCGCAACCCUUAUCCUUUGUUGCCAGCGGUUAGGCCGGGAACUCAAAGGAGACUGCCAGUGAUAAACUGGAGGAAGGUGGGGAUGACGUCAAGUCAUCAUGGCCCUUACGAGUAGGGCUACACACGUGCUACAAUGGCGCAUACAAAGAGAAGCGACCUCGCGAGAGCAAGCGGACCUCAUAAAGUGCGUCGUAGUCCGGAUUGGAGUCUGCAACUCGACUCCAUGAAGUCGGAAUCGCUAGUAAUCGUAGAUCAGAAUGCUACGGUGAAUACGUUCCCGGGCCUUGUACACACCGCCCGUCACACCAUGGGAGUGGGUUGCAAAAGAAGUAGGUAGCUUAACCUUCGGGAGGGCGCUUACCACUUUGUGAUUCAUGACUGGGGUGAAGUCGUAACAAGUUAACCGUUAAGUGGGCUGCCCGCUACCUUUAGGCAAGGAAAGCGGGAGUUUUUAGCGGGGGGGGGACCACUUGCG